UCUCCUGUUUUCUGAUUCCUUUCUCCUCCUGUCCAUCAAAGCUCAGGUAUCCUGAGCUGCAAGGAUCUAAACAGCUUAGGUCCCGGUACAGCUUGGAGAAAUCCGAUUGGCUGGAUGAUGAACUUUGAACCUCCCUUCAGCCAAUACCUGCAUGGUUAUACCGGGACAAAACCAGCAGCAUGGAAGGCUGCAGCCAUUUUACUGCAGGAGUGUGCAAUCAAAGGGAAGGAGCAAAACUGUUAUGGGUUAGAGAAGAGAUGAAAAAUGGCAGUUAAAGUGAGGAGAGAGGAAUUGGGAUCAGGAGGAAAGAAGAGCUUUAGUGAAUAAGAUACAGAAAAGCAGAGAAUAUGGAGCAACGGAAUAGACUACGACAAUCAUAUUAUACUUUCAAAAAAAUGGCACAAGACGAAAAUAGAAAACGUCACAGAAGUGCUCGCAUCCAAACCAGAAAGAAGAAGAACUCUGAUUACAGAAUUGCAUUCCUGCCGCAAAAUAUCCAGCAGCAGAAAACUCCUACUUCAGGGCCUUCUUUCUUGAGAAGCACAAAAACCAAAACUUAUUUUUUUCAUAGCCAUUGUGCUAAUCUGCCUUGCAAAAUGGCAGAAAAACAAUUCCAGCUGCGUGGAGGAGAUGGCACUCAUGGAUAUAUUGAAUGACCUUCAUAGGCAUCUUCAGGACACUAUACUUGGUAUGGAGAAUAUCCAUGAGAUUAGCUGAACUAAAAGAUCAGAUAUCAACAUUAGUGGUUUCGCUCGAUCCUUUGGACUUAGCCAAUAUAACAAAGAGGGUAUUUAUUUGAAUUUAGAAACUUAUAUGUUAGCAUUUCUAGGCAUUAGAGCCUGUAUGUUUCAAGACUGACCAGUCAGACAUAAUUUUCAUUUCUUUUUUGGUUGUUCAACAUUGAAAAAUAAAUAUUUUUUUGGUAAAAACUAUAAUAAACUAAUAAUAUAAUAUAUAAUGAUAAUAAUAUAAUAUAAACUAAUAAAAAAACUAUAAUAAUAUAAACUAUAAAAAACUAAUAAUAUUUAUGCAGGAUAUGUGGCUGAUUAAUCUACUUAUUCUGUUCAUAGCCAUUGUGCUAAUGUGUUCUGUAACCUGCUGGGAGGAGGCACUGGAGCAAGGAAGGAAGGUGAUAGUUGAACUUAAGAAUGCCCGUGAGAUUAUGGCCCAAUUAAGGGAAGAAUUAAAUGAGAUAAAAGCGCAGAUAUCUCAUGGAGUGAAAAAUAAGGGACACUUGCUAGCGGUUACUUUUCAAUUAUUAAUGUUUUCCCUGGAUCCUUUUGGUAACUAGUACUGUAACAAGUGACUGGGAGUACAACCUGCACAUUUAGCAACCUUUAUGUUUGGGCUUUCUUACUUUCUUUGGUUGUUCAUCUAUGUUGAAAAAUAAAUAUUUUUUUUGGUUAAAACUU